UGCUUGGAUAAAAAGCGUUGC
ensembl:piRNA 21ur-2967 ncRNA